UGGGGGAAUAUUGCACAAUGGGCGCAAGCCUGAUGCAGCCAUGCCGCGUGUUGUGAAGAAGGCCUUCGGGUUGUAAAGCACUUUCAGCGAGGAGGAAAGGUGGUGAACUUUAAUACGGUUUCAUCAAUUGACGUUACUCGCAGAAGAAGCACCGGCUAACUCCGUGCCAGCAGCCGCGGUAAUACGGAGGGUGCAAGCGUUAAUCGGAAUUACUGGGCGUAAAGCGCACGCAGGCGGUUUGUUAAGUCAGAUGUGAAAUCCCCCGGGCUCAACCUGGGAACUGCAUUUGAAAACUGGCAAGCUAGAGUCUCGUAGAGGGGGGUAGAAUUCCAGGUGUAGCGGUGAAAUGCGUAGAGAUCUGGAGGAAUACCGGUGGCGAAGGCGGCCCCCUGGACGAAGACUGACGCUCAGGUGCGAAAAGCGUGGGGAGCAAAACAGGAUUAGAUACCCCU
rnacentral:rRNA from 1 species